UCAUUGGUGGUUUAGUGGUAGAAUUAUUGCCUUUCAUGUGGGAGACCUGGGUUCAAUUCCCAGCCAGUGUA
rnacentral:tRNA from 1 species